UUAGGUUGGAAUAAACGAGUGUAAAUUCUAGUUUUACUGUUUUGAUUAUGCGCCUUUAAAUUUUCGGCAUUUACAUAUUUUCGAGAUUUACUGCAUUGAAACCAAGCGUUCGAUUGCUUGACGUCACUUCGUGAUCGACAUCGAUGAAACGCUUGCUUACGCUGUAGAUGUUAUUUUCUGUGCAAAUACAAGCGUCUAUUGAUAACGAAACGAUAAUUUGUCAACAAUGAGAAUCAGAUACUUGGCUUAAUAAUUUUCAUUUAAAAUGUCUAAUUUGGAUAUAAUUCGGAAUACAAAACGAAACUUAAAAGGUAUUGAAAACAACAACGUUCAAAAGAACAAUGUGGAUUUCAAUAGAAAGACUAUUUCCACCGACAAUCAGGAUUUCCGGAAUGACCACUGUUAUUUUGACGAUUUUUCUAUCGGUUCGUCGGUAAGCGUGACCACAUGUGACAACAGCGAUGCUAGUUGGAUAUAAAAUUGGUAGACGUGUCGUUGAACUCGACACAUUUACCGAAUCGCUUUUAGCAUGCAGUGCUUGUCAAGUGCCCAUGAAUUUACUUAACACUGUAGAAAGCAGGGAUUUCGGACAGGCAUGUGUUUUGGACAUACAGUUUAGCAAUUGUGGUGCAGUAAAUAAUGUGGCUACUGGACGGAAACAUGGCAGAGUUUAUGACAUGAUCACAAAGCUUGCAUUUGGGUAAAUCAAAAACUGGGUGUUUCACCUGGGACUUUCACAUCGAAACUGGCCCUUCUCCAUGACCUUCAGCACAAAAAAAGAAAGGCUAUAACUGUUACUCGUGCAGCAAAACAGUGACGCAUAAGACUUAAAACUCGAACGGCAUUCAAAGGACAGUGCAAGAAGUACAAGCGGGACCAACAUACAGUUCAAACAUAGAGGACCAAGACGUUGAAGUUACAACUAUACCCCCACCUAUACCCAAGCCUGGUCCAGCAGGGCUAGACACUACUGGGAAGGAAUUUGUUUUCUUUGAUUUGGAAACAAGAGGGUUAGAGCACACUUCUCACAUAAUUCAGAUAGCUGCAGUGCAUUCAACUGGUCAGAAGAUUUCCUUGCAAGCGUCAGAAAUAACUGGAGUGACAGUUGUUAGCGACUCUAUGCUUGUCAAGAGACAAACAGUAACAGCUGUCCCCAUCAAAUCUGCAUUGACAAGUUUUAUAACAUUCUUACAGAAAUGUUCACCAAUUAUUUUAGUUGGGCAUAAUAUAGAGUCUUUUGAUUGUAAAGUGUUGCUCCGUGCUAUCCAUACUUGUUGAAAAAUGUUUGAGUUUCAGCAAAAUAUUUGUGGCUUUUUAGAUACUUAAAAAUGUUAAAGGAAAUAUUACCAAAUAUGAAAUCAUAUUAGCGGGAACAUUUAGUUAAAGACGUCAUUGGUGAAUUAUACAUGGCACAUGGCUCUAUACAGGAUAUUUUAGCUUUACAAAAGUUAGUGAACUCUGUUCCUCUUGACCAAAAAUUGUUAACAAAUAUUCAUUCAGCUUUUACCGAGCAGUGUUAACAUACAAUGUGUAACUAAAUGUUGCUUCCAACAUCAAAUCUUUACAAACCAUAAUUGAUACAAAAGUUAUAAGUCAAGGUGUUGCAAGGAAAGUUGCAGGAAGUGGAUUUCAACUUAAACAUUUGAGUCCUGUAUCAAAAAGAAACGGACUGAGUGGUUUGAGGAGCCCCCUUUCAGAGGUUACAAACGGACAAAUCAGAGUAACAAAAUCAGAGAAAAUAAUAUGUACAAUAGCGAGUUAUUUGUUGCCUGACAUCUAACCAAUUGUAAUUUGCAUCUUGUAUAUAGAUAAGCUAUGAAAUCUAAAAGCUGUUACAUCAUUGUUUUUCCUUCUCGAUGACGAACAUAGUUGUGAUUCUUAUGUCAGUUGUAUUUCUCAUGUUUCACCUAAGUUGUAAGAUAUUUUUGGCAGUGCAUUAAACCACAGAUGGUGUGUGAAACAUAAUUGCCCAGCUUAUUGUAUUCUUUGUUGUUUUAAGCUUCACUGGCCAAAGGCCAGCGGGGCUUAUGUUAUGAUUCUGUGUCCGUCGUGCGUGCGUGCCUGAACGUUUCCUUUAAACAUCUUCUUCUCCUAAACUACUGGUCCAAUUGUGAUGAAAUUUCUCAGGAAUGUUCCUCUUUCAACGUUGUUCAAAUUAUGCCCCUGGGGUCAAAUUUGACCCUGCCCCGGGGUCACAAAAUUUAACGUAUGCUUAUAUAGGGUCUAUUUUGUGAAAACUUCACAUAUUUUUUCGUCCAUAACCAUUGGGCCUUGGGCUUCCAAAUUUGGUAUGUAGUGGCAUCUUAUAGUCCUCUACCAAGUUUGUUCAAAUUAUGCCCCUAGGGUCAAGUUUGACCCUGCCCUGAGGGUCACAAAAUUGAACAUAUGCUUAUAUUAGGCAUUUUUUGUGAAAACUUUAAAAAUCUUCUUGUUCAUAUUAGUAUGGCAUAGGGCUACCAAAUUUGGUAUGUAAUGACAUGUAAUAGUUCUCUACCAAGUUUGUUCAAAUUAUGCCCCUUGGGUUAAAUUUGAAACUGCCCCGGGGGUCACAAAACUGAACAUAUGCUUAUAAAGUGCUUUAUUGGUGAAAAAAAAUUGUCCAUAUCUAUUGGGCCUAGGGCUACCAAAUUUGGUAUGUAGUGACAUCUUAUAAACCUCUACCAAAUUUGUUCAAAUAAUGCCUCUGGGGUCAACUUUGACCCUGCCGCGGGGGGUCACAAAAUUUAAUAAACGCUUAUAAAGCGCCUAUUUUGUGAAAUCUUUAAAAAUCUUGUCGAAAACCAUUCUGACUAUGGCUACCAAAUUUGGUAUGCAGGAACAUCUUAUAGUCAUCUACCAAGUUUGUUACUUUGGGUCAAAUUUGACCCUGACCCGCAGGUCACAAUAUUGAACAUUAUAUACGCUUGUAUCUUGCUUAUUUUAUGAAAACUUUAAAAAUAUUCUUGUCCUUAACUCUACAUCUAAGACUUAGGGCCACCACAUUUUGUAUGGAGUGAGAUAUAGUAGCCCUCUACAAAGUUUGCUAAAAUUAUGCCCCUGGGGUUAAAUUUGACCCAGCCCAGGUGGUCACAAAAUUGUACAUGUGCUUAAAUAGGGCCUAUAUUUAAGUAUCUGCACAUGCGGAGAAUAUUUGUUUCAGUCUUUUUUUCAGCAGUGGAGCGAUACAAGGCCAUCAU